CUUUCCCUCUGUCGGCAUGCUUUACACAUGCAAGUCGAACGGUAACAGGCCGCAAGGUGCUGACGAGUGGCGAACGGGGGAGUAAUGCAUCGGAACGUGCCCAGUCGUGGGGGAUAACUACUCGAAAGAGUAGCUAAUACCGCAUACGAUCUAUGGACGAAAGCGGGGGACCGUAAGGCCUCGCGCGAUUGGAGCGGCCGAUGUCAGAUUAGGUAGUUGGUGGGGUAAAGGAUCAUCAAGCCAACGAUCUGUAGCUGGUCUGAGAGGACGACCAGCCACACUUGGACUGAGACACGGCCCAGAAUCCGACGGGAGGCAAGAGUGGGGAAUUUUGGACAAUGGGCGGAAGCCUGGUCCAGCAAUGCCGCGUGCAGGAAGAAGGCCUUCGGGUUGUAAACUGCUUUUGUACGGAACGAAACGGCUCUGGUUAAUACCCGGGGCUAAUGACGGUACCGUAAGAAUAAGCACCGGCUAACUACGUG
rnacentral:rRNA from 1 species